AGUCAAGUCAACAGUAUUUAUAGAGCACUUUCAAACAGCCAUCGCUGCAUACAAAGUGCUGUACAUGGAGCGAUUUAACAUACACAAUAAACAGUAAGACGAAUCGGUAAUAAAGGCGGUAGAAAGCACCAAGCAGUAAAAUCAAGAGCAAAUCUAAGUCAUGCUGAGUCGAACGCCAAAGAAUACAAGUGAACAUUGAAACGAAUGCUGUAGUUGACUCCCAAGGUGAACCCCUGCCACGAAGAAUAUAAAUAAAAAUAGCGGUAGCACGAAGAAGAAAAAUAAAAAAUAGUAGUAAGAAGGAAAAGAUAAGAAAAUAAUAGAUGAGAUAACAGAAAAUGGAGAAACGUAGUGACAAUCUGGAGAAAAGUGGGUCGAAGAUCGGCCAGGUUAACCGGCAGCUAAGGAGAAGUUAUGAUGUCAUUUACAUUUCAAAAACCAGAAGCCAUUCAUUUACAAAUGUGAUUGCACUUCAGUUUACAUAUUUAAAUGUUCAGAUAUUAAGAUUUGAAUGAGAGAAAAUAACAUGCUUUUUCUCUCAAAUAUAUUGUCAAUCAUUUGUUUCAGAUGUACUGUAAUUAUUUUCUGUAUAAAAAUUAAUUUGGUGUUCAAAAAGUCUUUUUUCAAACUUGAGUCUUGAAAAAGAGGGGGUCGUCUUAUAAUCAGGGCCGUCUUAUAUUCGGGGCAAUACGGUAUAUAAAA